CAGUAGCCGCGGUAAAACGUAGGUGGCGAGCGUUGUCCGGAAUUAUUGGGCGUAAAGGGAGCGCAGGCGGGCGAGUAAGUCUUUCUUAAAAGUACGGGGCUCAACCCCGUGAGGGGAUGGAAACUGUAUGCCUUGAGUGCAGGAGAGGAAAGCGGAAUUCCCAGUGUAGCGGUGAAAUGCGUAGAUAUUGGGAGGAACACCAGUGGCGAAGGCGGCUUUCUGGACUGUAACUGACGCUGAGGCUCGAAAGCCAGGGGAGCGAACGGGAUUAGAUACCCCAGUAGUCCCUGUCUCUUAUACA
rnacentral:rRNA from 1 species